rnacentral:rRNA from 1 species
UACGAAGGGGGCUAGCGUUGUUCGGAAUCACUGGGCGUAAAGCGCACGUAGGCGGAUUUUUAAGUCAGGGGUGAAAUCCCAGGGCUCAACCCUGGAACUGCCUUCGAUACUGGACGUCUUGAGUCCGAGAGAGGUGAGUGGAAUUCCGAGUGUAGAGGUGAAAUUCGUAGAUAUUCGGAAGAACACCAGUGGCGAAGGCGGCUCACUGGCUCGGAACUGACGCUGAGGUGCGAAAGCGUGGGGAGCAAACAGG